AAGCAGUGGGCGAUGGGGAGUUUGUCAAAUGCCUCCAUUCUGUGGGGUGCCCUCUGCCUUUACAAAGUAAGUGUAUUAUUUCAGAAUCAAAAGUCAAAAUAAAAAAGAAAGCUGAACGCAAACCCCAGUGAGUGCCUCGGGGACCCCCAAGCAGGGCCCUGGCGCACUGACUUGGGAGGGGUCCUUGUUCACAGAGCCUUUGGUCAACAACUGGCCCUGCAACCCGGAGCUGACGCUCAUCGCCCACCUGCCUGACCGCAGAGAGAUCAUCUCCUUUGGCAGUGGGUACGGCGGGAACUCGCUGCUCGGGAAGAAGUGCUUUGCUCUCAGGAUGGCCAGCCGGCUGGCCAAGGAGGAAGGGUGGCUGGCAGAGCACAUGCUGAUUCUGGGUAUAACCAACCCUGAGGGU
rnacentral:lncRNA from 1 species